UACGUAGGCAGCAAGCGUUGUUCGGAGUUACUGGGCGUAAAGGGUGCGUAGGCGGCUCUAUAAGUAUGGUGUGAAAUCUCCCGGCUUAACUGGGAGGGUGCGCCGGAAACUGGAGUGCUUGAGCGCGGGAGAGGAAAGCGGAAUUCCUGGUGUAGCGGUGAAAUGCGUAGAUAUCAGGAGGAACACCUGUGGUGUAGACGGCUUUCUGGACCGUAGCUGACGCUGAGACACGAAAGCGUGGGUAGCAAACAGG
rnacentral:rRNA from 1 species